UGAGUAGCCUCUUCUUUGGAUACAUAAACACCCGAUGGAUAUUGUGGGUCACUGUGGAGGGAGAAUGAACGUAUGGGAUCCCUGACCUGUGGUUACUGGAAAACAGUUGACAUUUAGAGAGAGGCUGAAUUCUUGGGCUUCCCGUAGCCCCCAUCCUGAGUGUGCCAACAGGGACUAGAAGCAUCUCUAGUCUGCAAAGCGAGGAACAAGUGAUACUCUGUCCAAUUUUUCCAAUAUUGUUAUACUCAUGAAUAGAGAUUAAUGAAAUUGAAGAGCAUAUUCAAGAGAAAGACUAAAGGAGAAGUCGUCUGCCCCGUGGACAGGCAGCUUGAGUGGUGCUUGAGAAAAUGUACAUGAAAUUGCUUGUUAAAAAAUAUUCACGCCUGUAAUCCCAGCUCUUUUGGGAGGCCGAGGCGGGCAGAUUACUAGGUCAGGAGAUCGAGACCAUCCUGGCUAACACGGUGAAACCCCGUCCCUACUAAAAAUACAAAAACAAAAUUAGCCGGGCGUGGCGGCGGGCGCCUGUGGUCCCAGCUAUUGGGGAGGCUGAGGCAGGAGAAUGGCGUGAACCCGG
rnacentral:lncRNA from 10 species